GCAUGUACAACUACUUAUGAUGUGUGACUAUGUUUUCACAGUAAUAAUAACUCAUAAUUGAUCAAAUUGUUCUAAAACGAACUGAUAACAUCUAAAUAAUCAAAUACUACAAGGUAUCCAUCUCUAGAGGUAAAGCGAAUAUUUCGGAGUACCCAUAAACAUUAACCAACAAUGUAACAAUGAAAAAAAUGGAUCCAUUGCACUGGGAAACAACAGCAACUUUGAGAAAACAGAAGAAUUUGCCCUCAACUAUAAAUGAAUGCUUACGGCGCCUCGCGAUGUGUACUGCCUGGGACGAAAACUUUGAAGACUGUUCGAAGUUCGAUCCAGAACGGCGCCAUCAACAAGGCACCAUAUACAAGGAGAGCACUGAUAGUGAUGGCUUUGGUGUUAGUGUAUGUGGAUAAUCAAUUUCAUGAAACUCUGUGACAUAAAUGUGUUCAAGUUCAUCAAAAAACUCACCAUCAAUAGGUCACUGCAUUGUUCAAGCAUGCGCAAUAAGUACUUUGAUUGAAUGUGGUAAAAUGCAUGAAAUAGAGUAUCUACCUAUGCAAUGAUUAGUUAAAGGUUGACAUCUUUAUGUGUAUCAUCGAACCGAGUAGAGAAUCUGGUUUUUGCUAUAACAUGCUUGUUUUGGAGCCUUCGCUUAAAAGCACGCUCAAAGAGCGGUAUUUUAAUAAUUUAUCUUUAAAUUACUAUUAAUUAACAGGUAAAAUCAGUGAAUAUUCGAGAAUUUGGUUUUGCAAACUUA